rnacentral:rRNA from 1 species
GACGAACGCUGGCGGCGUGCUUAACACAUGCAAGUCGAACGGAAAGGCCCCUUUGGGGGUACUCGAGUGGCGAACGGGUGAGUAACACGUGAGUAACCUGCCCUUGACUUCGGGAUAACUUCAGGAAACUGGGGCUAAUACCGGAUAGGAAUCCUUGCUGCAUGGUGGGGGUUGGAAAGCUUCGGCGGUUUUGGAUGGACUCGCGGCUUAUCAGCUUGUUGGUGGGGUAGUGGCUUACCAAGGCUUUGACGGGUAGCCGGCCUGAGAGGGCGACCGGCCACAUUGGGACUGAGAUACGGCCCAGACUCCUACGGGAGGCAGCAGUGGGGAAUAUUGCACAAUGCGCGGAAGCCUGAUGCAGCAACGCCGCGUGCGGGAUGACGGCCUUCGGGUUGUAAACCGCUUUCAGCAGGGGCGAAGCUUGUGGUGACGGUACCUGCAGAAGAAGCACCGGCUAACUACGUG